GGGCGUGUGGCUCAGUUGGUAGAGCGUUCGCUUAGCAUACUCACCGGUAUGCGAAAGGUCCUGGGUUCGAUUCCCAGCUCGUCCA
rnacentral:tRNA from 1 species